GCCUGGGUGGCUCAGUUGGUUGAGCAUCUGACUUCAGCUCAGGUAUGAUCUUGUGGUCCGUGAGUUCGAGCCUCGCAUCGGGCU
rnacentral:tRNA from 1 species